GGCUCGGUAGCUUAGUUGGUAAAGCGUUCUUUUAGCAUACAAGAGUCCUGGGUUCAAAUCCCAGCCGAGCAC
rnacentral:tRNA from 1 species